CAGGGGGGAAAAAAACUGGGGUGAGUUGGAGGUAAAACAUACCUAUGUAGUGAAACUUCAGCCAAGGAAACCAAAUUCAAAGGUUAAGAGAACUUGCUUUAGGGACUGCUGAUGUAUAUGGGAGAUCAGUAAACCUGUUAGAUGUCAUGUGUGUUGUUCUGGUUUUACUGUUGGAUGCAAUUUUGUCAGUUUCUGGUUUUGAUGAGUAAAUGUGGCAGAGCCUAAAUAUAUGGUGGGGUAUUGGGGAUUUGGGGGGAUUUGGUUUUUAUUGUUUCUUUGGGGUUUUGGGGUUUUGUUUUAUAUGGUUAAUUGUCUUGAUAUAUCAGUCAUUUGUUGUGGGUUUUUAGGUCCAUAAUUUGUACAGCUGCAUUAAAGUGGCAGAAGAUUUUGUAUCUCCUGAACACGUGAAGCACUGCUUCCGUCUGACCCAGGAGUUCAGGCAUCUGUCUAAUACUCACACAAACCAUGAGGAUAAACUGCAGGUGAAGAACAUUAUCUACCAUGCAGUGAAAGAUGCUGUUGGCACAUUGAAAGCUCAUGAAUCCAAACUAGCUAGAUCGUAGGAAUUGCUAAUUCCAAAUGCCCUGUCAAGUAGGCCUUUUGCUCAUGGUAUAUCCAGGGACUGCACAGGACUGCCUCUGCAGGAGCAGGAGCUUCUCCCUGGAGCUGCUGUGGUCAGUAUUACACACACUCUUCAGCCACCGUUUUCUGCACUGUCUCAACACUGAAGGUCUCAUGGAAAGUCGCACUGUUAAAUGCAGAAUUCCAGAUUCUAAAAGGUGCCAUAUCCCUUUCCUGUGGCCUUUUGCAAAUUGAAAGAACAUGGAAACCACUUGGUGUUCCUGCAUAUUACGAUUAGAAAUGGUAUAAAGAGCGUGGAUGGUUUUUUCCCUCAUGCCUAGUUAGUCUCCACUAAGUUAGAACGUGCAGGAGGUUGGUUGUCCUACUGUGGACUUGGUUGAUAACUGCUGAAAGAAUGUGACCAACAGUAGCCCAGCUGCAGAAAUUCAAACUUCCUGUGUGAGAUACAGGCCAAGGAAAAGGAUAAAGCUGUUCUCUGCACUCCCCUUCUUCUAGCCGUUUCUCUAUACACUGUAGAGUUGCAGAACUAAAGGGAGAACCCACUUUUUUUCCCCCUGGGAGACUCCAGAAAUAAAAGAAUUGUGUAUUUAGUGAAAAAAUAGGUUUGUAGUGAAACAGUUAAUAUUUCAUGAAAGUAGAUAUUUUUAGUAUUUUUGAGGUACCACAAUUGUUCCUGGAUUUUCAAGGAAAGGUAUUACGUUUAGUCUUCCUUUCAAUAAAAUCAAGAAGUGAUUUUUAGAAAGCAGUCCAAAAUAGCACAAAAACAGCCAAAGGAGAAUUGAAUAGAAAUUGACAUCCCACCUCCCUUGCCCAUAUUACCUCACCUAUCUUCUCCCUCUCUCUACACCACUCUGCUUCCUCAAAAUGAGAAAUAAAAAGGAGUAUAAACUCUGUUCUCACAUGGAGAUGUUGUACAUCUCUCCCUGCACUGGUGAUGCAGGCAAUAUUCACCCAAUACCAGUGCUACCUGUAAACAUCUAUAAAACACCUAUCCUUUCCAAAGAGAUGGAAAAAUUAACUUUUGGUGUCAGCUUUGUCCAGAACUAUUUUAAGUAAAAUGUUCCUGCUUGAUAGAACUGUAUUCAGAAUUUACUAAUGUCAGCAUUGAUGCAAUGGAUUUCAUUGUCUGGGUACAUGGGGAAAUGUAUUGACCUUAUCUCCAGCUGUACUGUAGUGCCACUUGCAGGCCUGUUAAUAUGUUCACGGUUAUUUCAUUUUUUAAAAAAUAAAAAUCAUUUACUGUAA